rnacentral:lncRNA from 1 species
AUUUAUUAUCUGGUCCAGAGAUUUCCUUCUUGUUUGCUUUUUAAAAUUCGGCUAAGGCCUCUUUUCUGGCUUGAGAAACGGCUUGGGUUUUAGGUUAAAGGCAGUUUGGUUUUCGGGGAGGGUGGGGUCAGCCUAGCUCAGGGCGGCCCAGUGGGAUUCUGUUUCCUGCAACAUAUCCACGUCUUGAAAAUAUCUGGUAAAUACCGAAAGCAAAUUUCAACGAGCUGGUAAUUCCUGCGGAAACAGAAUUUCAGACUGUUUACUGAGAAGACACCCAGCCAAUAUCAAGUUAUUCUGUAUAAAAUGAAUCUGGCCCUUGCAAAGCCAACCAACUCGAUCAUGCCAAACUUCUGACUUAAUUGAAGCUGGUGGCGGGUGGUGAUGAAAUAGAUGAAGGAGAAGCUCAGAAGGUCAUCAACACACCCAGAAAGCCGGAGGAAUCAAAGCUAUGAUGGUGAGGAGAAGUUACGUCAGAAGACACUUGAGGACUCGUGUGCUAUACGCAACAUCUAUUCCUUCUUUCUUGUUAACAAAUCUCCGAUUGUAUUCAGGAAUCCAGCCGCCUCCUCACAGGCCUGGACUUCAGAGGAGAGUGACCCCACCCCUAUCCUGGACAUGGGUCUAAUUGGACUAAAUCAAUCAUAGCAGCCCCAUUCCACUUGCCAAUGACUGGUUUGGGCAAAGGUUUGCUUUUUCUUAAAGAGGAUCUCACAAAAGAGUUGAUUUCUUCUUUCUCUGGUUGCUGUUGCCAUUGGAAAUGGCUCCUGAACUGCUGCGACCACCUUGUGACCAUGGAGAAGGGGAGGCAGCCAAGGAACACUUAGGGGAUGACACAGCUUGGAGGUGAAAGGGUCUGGAUCCUUAAUGGCUUCCCCAAGCCUCAGAAUCACUCAGCUCUGGAGCUGCCCACUCUGCAAGUUCUCAGUAGAUGAGAAAAUUGAUGCCUAAAGAGAAGCUAUCCAAGGUCACCCAGGGAGUAAGUGGUAGAGCAAAGACUCGAACCCAGACACUGGAGUCCAGAGUCCAGCCUUCUUCACCGUGUCAGGGUAAGAAGAGUCCUUUAGAGAAGGGCCUGCUUAACUCUCCCUUUCCACAAAGGAUUCAGUCCAGAGAACAGAGGGAGCACGACCACACUUUAUAAAUGUAGCUGAUCUUACCCAAAGAUUUUUCCUGAUGGUGGGUUUACUGGGUAUUUUCUAGAAGAAAUAGAUCAAUUAUGUCUUACUCUUACAAGUAUAGAGAGCUGCACAUGAUAAAUCCUCAAUAAAUAACACAAUAAAGCCUCUGACUUCUCAC